rnacentral:rRNA from 1 species
GAUCCUGCUCAGGAUGAACGCUAGCUACAGGCUUAACACAUGCAAGUCGAGGGGCAGCAUUUUAGUUUGCUUGCAAACUAAAGAUGGCGACCGGCGCACGGGUGAGUAACACGUAUCCAACCUGCCGAUAACUCAGGGAUAGCCUUUCGAAAGAAAGAUUAAUACCUGAUGGCAUAGGAUUAUCGCAUGAUAAUCCUAUUAAAGAAUUUCGGUUAUCGAUGGGGAUGCGUUCCAUUAGG